AUUCCAGGAUCUGGUGAGAUCUGUGUCCGCCUCCCUCGCUCCGGUGGGAGAGAAGAAAAUAAACCUACCGCUGCUAACCAGGCUAGUUAUGGAACCAGCCCCUAAACACUGCCUGUGCCGACUGUAAGUGGAGCAGAGUGGCCCUCCCUGCACGCAGCGACUCUCUUUGGGGAGAAUAGCCCGGGGACCGCUGGGGAUUUUUCGGACGGUUUCUCCUUAUUGUGUUGGAGUCAAGUUGUAGACGCCAGCCAGGAGACGCUUUCAUUAGCUAGCUAGCCGAGCUAACCAUAGCUUAGCAAAGGAGCAGCGGGUGAACUUCGCAUGGACCGAGCGCUGCGAACGGGAGAAUAGCCUGCCGCCCCACCGCCAGCUUUCUGUCGGCUCCGGUGCUUCACAUGGGAGUCUGUCACUGCUCCAUGGACACUAUCGCCCCGGGGCGCGAAGGCGACCACUGUGUGCAAAUGUUGUUUUUGGGGCUGACGCCAUCACGUUAUUGAUCUGGAAAGCUAACAGGAUAUUAGCCAGCUUUCUCGCCUCUCCGCUUUGUGGUCGCAGGCCACGGACUGAGAAGCAUUCAUCCCUGGCUGAGUGAUGAGGAGGCUGGCUUGAUGGCAGCUAAUCAUUUAACGGGAAGCAGCAAUUGGAUACAACUAAACGGACAAAAGGAGGGUUUGAUUUGAACGUAGUCUCCGAGCACCGCAGCCGCACUUUGGUAUUUUUCUGUUUAGAACUUGAAAAUGCACCGCAGGGCUGGAGCUUAUUCGAAGUUGGGAUAGAAGAGACGCACAGGAACACGUCGGGAUUACAGCUCCACCUCCAGAGAAACUGCUGCCGAGAAGGGGAGCCGAAGUUUGUAUAAUGUCUACCGCAAAAGAAAACCCCUGUAGGAAGUUCCAGGCGAACUUCUUCAACAAGAGUAAAUGUCAGAACUGCUUCAAGCCUCGAGAGCUGCAUCUGCUGACGGACCAGGAUCUGACCCAGGCUAAACCUAUUUAUGGUGGAUGGCUUUGCUUGGCCCCGGAGGGAACUGACUUUGACAAUCCUAUGCAAAGAUCCAGGAAAUGGCAAAGAAGAUUCUUUGUGCUGUACGAACAUGGCUGUUUACGCUUUGCCCUGGACGAGUCGCCAAGCACGUUGCCUCAGGGAACCGUGAACAUGAACCUCUGUGCAGACGUCAUCGAUGCUGAGCCCAAGACCGGCCAGAAGAACUCCCUGUGCAUCAUCACGCCAGACCAGGAGUUCUUCAUCAGAGGAGAGAAUAAAGAGAUCAUCAAUGGGUGGAGUGAGCAGCUGGUGGUUUACCCCCGCACCAACAAACAGAACCAGAAGAAGAAACGCAAGGUGGAGCCUGCGACCUCCCAGGAGCCAGGUCCAGCCAAGGUAGCAUUGACUGGCUCUGGUAUCCCUGAGGCAGAGAAGGUUCCAGACUCCAGCUCCAUAAUCUGGCAGGAGGAGCUGAACCAGAGGGAGGCUGAGGCAGCUGUAGUCUGGGCCACUGCUGACGUGCCCCCAGGAUCACCACUGCCCUCCACAGGUGAAUGUGCGUCUGUGGGCCAUGGCUCAGAUGCAGGCUCAGUCAAUGGCGACGAGGUGGACCGGGGAAGUCUGCCAAUGCUCAGCUCUGUGCCGCAGCCACCCAGCGACGUUCUCUCCCCCUCUGGCUCCUGCUCCAGCCUGGGAGGAGUCCCACGCUGCCUCUCCCCAGCCCCCAGCGACCCCUUUCCCUCUGGCAGCUCCCUGCUCUCCAAUGGCUCGCACAUCAGCGGCUCGAUCAGCUCUUUGGACUCGGAUGCCAGCGGCAGCACAGUGACCAGCACAGACAGUCACCCGACCUCCCAGAGGGGCAGCCACCCCUACAGCCACCACGACACGCCGCGGUCCAGACGGCUGGAGGCUGAGGCCAGAAAGGCAGAGAAGAGGAGUCGAUAUAGGAGCCCUGACAAGCAGGAGAGGGAGGCCGUCCUCAGCCCCGAGAGGAGUCGCUCUGGCGUUAUUGAGAAGCUGGAGGCCUUGGAGCUGGAGAAUCAAGAGAAAAUGGAGGUGGAAGAGCUGGAGAGGACCGGAGAAAGACAGGGCCGAAGUGAGCACAGGCGCCUCAACAGAGAGGAGCAGAGGCAUGAUGUUGGUCAGGGUCGCAACUUCGCCUCCACCCUGCCCCCUCUGAGGAGAGCCAAGUCCCUGGACCGAAGGACCACUGAGUCAGUCAUGACUCCGGAUUUACUGAACUUCAAGAAAGGUUGGAUGGUGAAGCUGGAUGAGCAAGGCCAGUGGAAGAAAUACUGGUUUGUGUUGACGGAUCACAGCCUGAGAUACUACAAGGAUUCAAUAGCAGAGGAGGCCGCUGACCUGGAUGGGGAGAUUGACCUGUCCACUUGCUACAGUGUAACUGAGUACCAGGCUCAACGCAACUAUGGUUUCCAAAUACAUACACGGGAGGGAGUGCACACUCUGUCCGCUAUGACGGCAGGUAUACGCAGGAACUGGAUCCAGGCGGUCAUGAAGAACGUCCGGCCCUCCACUGCCCCUGACGUGGCGAGCUCGACUGAGGAUCACGGCCCCUUCUCUGCCUUGGAAGGUCUGGUUAGACCAGACGUCACUCAGGACUCCCCUUCAUCAGAGGCCUCUGUAGAGAGAGAACCCGCUCCGGGCAUCACAAAGAGCCGGGCGCGCGAGCGACGAAGAGAGGGCCGCUCGAAGACCUUCGACUGGGCAGAAUUCAGACCCAUCGCUCAGGCUCUGGCUCAGCAGAGGGCACAAGAGGCUGAGUGCCUUCAGGCAGACUUGGGAGAGCUCGAGCGGAGCCGGAGGCGGGAGGAGAGGCGGAAAAGGUAUGAGUCUGUGACCAGCUCAUCGACAGAGCCCACAUCCCCUAAAGAGGCAGGGAGGACAGACUAUGAGAGUGGAGAGGGAGUUGGACAGUCGGAUUCAUUAGGUCCCACGACUUUGGAAAGGCAACAGAGGGUGGAAGAGGUGAUAGAACAACACUGGCAACAGGUGGAGAAGACACCCAUACGGGACGAGAGAAGGGUGGCUCUGCCCACCACAGCACAAACCAGAGAGACGGCAGAGUUGGAGCAGCUGUUGGAGAAUUACAAGCAAGGGAUCGAGGACCUAAAGUUACACUUGCAGAGCUGUCACCAGCAGCUCAUCGACUCCAACAAUCACAAACAGUUGCUGGAGCAGCAGCUGAGAACAGCUCUGGAGCGAGAGCAGGACAUCCGCACUGGUUACAUCUCUCCGCUGGAGCACCCUUUGGGUCUGGAGGCUGAUGUGACGCCUCAGACGAAGAGGCCCGAACUGGUUAGUUCUCAAGCACAGAGUUUAACAAAGAAGUAUCAGGAGACCAAAGAGCUCCUGAAGCAGCAAGAACUGAAAAAGCGCAAUAUGCAGGCACAGCUUGGCCUCUCGCUUUCUCACCUCCCCAUCAAGGAACCUUGCUUUUCUGAUCCAUCGAUUCUGGAAAGCCCUCCCCCUGAAACUGUUCAAAAAACUGUUAGCAUCUUGCUCCAGGACAGCUCAGAGGCAAUUCAGGACCUAGAAGACUUGAUAAGUGGUAAAACACUCACUCUAACAGAGCUGGGGAAGGUGACGAAAUCCUAUACUUAUCAAGCCACAACAGAGACGUAUCAACUUCAGAAGCUCUUGGAGACAUGGAAGUACCAGCAGGAGAUAGACAAUGAAACAAUAAAAAACAGUUUAGCCAAGGCAGGUGAAAUCAUCCGUGAAUAUGAAGCCCGUCUUCUUACCACGGAGGAUUUGGUGGGGAAAGCUCAGAAGCAAGAUUUGGAACGUCUACAAAGCCCCUACGGCCCCCUAUCAACAAUUGAAAACCAUUCAGAGACAAAUGAGAUGACAGUCGGAAGGCUCUCUCAGAGGGUUGAACUUUUAACAAAUGAAAAUGGAGCUCUGAAACAACGCUGUCAGGAGAUAGUAAACCAACUGACUGAGGCCGACAGAGAAAUAGACAGACUGAAAGCUGAGCUGAUCAGCCAGCAGGGCGGCAAACAGCAUCAUCUAGUAAUGGAAGAGUUGAAAAGACUAAAAGCCGAACUGGCUGAAAACCAAGCUAACGCCAUAGACAGGGAGUAUUAUGAGAGGGAGCUGAAUGAGAAAUCCUUGAGGUUCCAUGAAGCUCUUGUCACAUUGGAGGAGCUUGGCAACACCCUUAAAGACACAGAGAAGAAGCUGCAGUUGAAAGAUGCCACAUUGAAAGGUCUGGGCUUCCCGACAGAAUAUGAGGAUGAGGAGUUGCAGCCAGAAAAAGAGCAACUCAACGAGCUACUGGAAGCCUCACAAACAACGCUAUUUGAAAUGGAGGUAAAGCUGCAGUCCACAGAGCAGCGUUGUAUUGAACUGGACGCUAGGAACAGUGAACUAAUGGCACUAAACCAGGAAUAUCAGAAAGUCAGUGGAGAGAAACUAGAAGAAGCAGAAAAUGAAAUAAGAAUGCUAAAAGAGAAGUUAGAAAUUGAGAAAGGAAGAGCUGAAAUGACCGUUGGCGAGUGUGUUGCAGCAGGAAAAAAGCAGGUCGAUGAUAAAGAACUUAUAAAGCAAGUAGUAGAAGAGGUUGAGAUGAGAUCCGAGGCAAUUAAUCAAGUUGUAGAGAUGUUAGGAAAGGUAGAUGUUAAUGUAGAGAGAAUGCUUAGCGAUUUAAAAAGCACUUUAUUUGGUUCUUUGAAAGAAGAGUCAUUCCAUGUGAGCCCAAAAGAUGUGAGGUUGGUAGUGGAGGGAGAGUUCUGGAGUCAGCUGUUGGGCACUGAAGUACUUCAAGAGGACACUCAUUGCAGCAGUGGGAGAAGUGUGGCAGAACAGAUGAUGGCACAGAAGAGGCUGAUGUUCUUGGCGAGAGGGAUUUGUUCAGAAGCAAAUGUUUACAGAGAAGUAGUGACUAAGCCAGAUUUUGAAUCCAUGUACAGUUGGCUUGACAAUGAAAAGAAUGCUAUGAUUCUUAAAGAGUUAACUGAGACAUUGGAGGCACAGUCAAAUAGUUUGAAGCAGCUUGCGUCGAAGGUAAAGCUUGAUAAAGAUGACAUGCUACUGUCCAUGGCUCAAUCAAGCUUUGGUUGUGAGCAGAAACAGCCCUGUGACUAUUUGCUUGAAGCUUUCAAAGAAGCCUGCACGUCUUAUGUGAUCAUUAGGUUGAACGUCCAGCAUGAGAAAGAGCUAAAGCAUAAACAGACAGAAGUUCAAACUUGUGGCUUGGACUGUCCCAAUUGUCCCAAAUUAAGAGAAGUUGUCAGAGAUCUCCAGUCCAAACUAACCGAUCUCCAGGGUCGGCUAUCUGAGGCAUGUCUAAAAACCACUACAGGGCCCAAAACUUUGAUUCAAAUUGAAGGAGAGCCCAUUGAUUCAUUGGAUAAAACCAUUGAGUUACAAGACAUGAUAGCAAGUCAUAGAAAGGAGCUUCAAGAAGUCAAAGAUGGCUAUGAGGAGGAAGCUGAAAAGAUGAGGCAGGAAAUAGCUACAGCAAGCGAAACACUGCAUCUCCGGUCAGAGGAAAACGUGAAAGAGAUUGACUCAUUGACUAGCUGCAUGGAGAACCUCAAGAAGAAGCACGAAUUGGAAAGGUCGAACCUAAUGGAGAGGUUUGAUGGGGAGAUGGAAGAGCUGAGGAGCAUGAUGAGUCCAGUCAACCCAGAGAGGGACUCGACAGAUCACGCUUCGGCCCAAACUCCAACCCUGAAGCAGCGCAUUCAAGAGCUGGUGACCCAAGUUUCAGUCAUGACGGAAGAGAUGAAGCGACGCAAAGAGCAGGGCGACGUUUCAACUCAACGGCUGAAAUACGAGAAAGACCUGGAAAAACUGAAGGCCACCUGUGAGAGGGGCUUCACUGCCAUGGAGGAGUCCCAUCAGAAGGUUAUAGAUGAGCUGCAGAGGAAACACCAGAGAGAGCUGGAGAAUCUGCAUGAGGAGAAAGAGAGGCUGCUGGCAGAAGAGACGGCAGCCACCAUCUCGGCAAUUGAAGCGAUGAAGAACGCCCACCGUUCAGAGCUGGAGAAGGAGCUGGACAGGGCUCGCAAGGCCAACAACAACGCAGAGAACGCAGACAUGGACGAGAUGGCCAGACAGCAUGAGGAGGAGCUGUGUUCGUACCAUCGAGAGAUCGAGGUGCUGUCGGAGCAGUACUCCCAGAAGUGCCUGGAAAACGCCCACUUGGCCCAGGCACUGGAGGCCGAGAGGCAGGCCCUUAGGCAGUGUCAGAGGGAGAACCAGGAGCUCAACGCACACAACCAGGAGCUGAACAACCGUCUGGCAGCAGAGAUCACAAAGAUGCGCUCCAUGGCAUCUGAGGACGGAGUCGGAGACACACACACCACGAUACAGGGGAAAGAGCUCUAUGAGUUAGAAGUGAUGCUGAGGGUGAAGGAGUCUGAGGUCCAGUACCUGAAGCAGGAAAUCAAUUCCUUAAAGGACGAACUCCAAUCUGCCCAAAGAGACAAGAAAUAUGCAACAGAUAAGUACAAGGACAUCUACACAGAGCUGAGCAUCGUCAAGGCCAAAGGGGAGCGGGAUCUGGGGCGGCUCAGAGACCAGCUGCAGCUGGCCCACGAUGCUCUUGGGGAGCCGUCGCUAGAGGAGAUGGAGCGAGCGGGAUACGAUAUCAUGAAAUCCAAAAGCAACCCCGACAUCCUCAAGAUGGCAGCUGCUGCAGCCAAGCGCUCAGAACGCACCCUGAGAUCGAAGUCUGUGAGUCAAGACACUCCCUAGGACAGACAGGGCUGCUGAGGACGUGUAGGCAUUCCUCCCCUUCUCCCUUAGAGUCUAAAGGAAGGGCUAACAGCUGAGCAGAGACUUCACCUGUUUGAAAAUAAAGACACAAAGGAGUUCUGACGCAUCAUGUCCACCCACCCCGGUGCAUGUUUAGAAGCCCACUAUAUUUUAGCUCUGUUAUUUCUUAUUUAGUAACACUACACACUGGUCACAAACACAGAUCAUAUAUUAUUAAAAAAAACAUGGUAUGAAGUUUGAAUUUCAUGUCUAGAGUUUGCAUUCCAUGCACUUCAGUUAACUGUGACUUUUGUAUUGUUUAUUAUUUUUGUAAAUACUGUUUUUAAUUGAGCAUUUGUCUUGCGUACACUAAAACUAUGACUGUGUAAGCUACUGUUUUAACUCCCUAGACUGUUGCUAGCCAAAGGCUUAACUGUGAUGUUUAAUGGCUGAAACACAACCACAUACUGACGAGUGAGUAUUACUUGCAUAGCGAAAGCAUAGGAAUGAGUCCGGCGUUCAGGCACGCACGUUAACGCUCCAUCACUCCGUUAUUAGGUUGCUUCAUCAAAGCCUGAUAUUAAAAUGACAUCAGACACGUCCUCUGUUCUCCUCUGGUCAAUCUGAGAUGUAUGUUUUAAAGGGGACAGCUGAAUGUGUACGACGGGAUUCACUAACUAUAAUUUAAAUAUAUAUAUGAAAUUUAUUUAGAGUUUUUUUUUUUUUUCUCUCUCUCACUGCAAUCAUCCAGCUGUAUAGGAGUUGUUGGAGUUGGUUUCUGUUUGUAGACUUGUUCAGUGGCAGUCCCAUUGUAUUUAUUUAAAUGGUUGGGAGUUUUUUUUUCUUUCACAUUCCCAUUCCUCUGUACUCUAUUAUUGUAAAUAUAAAGCAAAUAUACACCAACUGACUACAGGUUUAUUAGCAAUAAAUAUUUUUGCACCCUU